rnacentral:tRNA from 3 species
UGGGAGAUGGGGUAACGGCAGCCCGCCAGGUUCUGGCCCUGGUAGUCUAGGUUCGAAUCCUAGUCUCCCAGCCA